UGCAGAAGAUGCAUUUGCUUCAGCACCGUAUGCAUGAGCGCCAGAAGAUGCAUCGACCAGGGAAAAAUUGAUAAAGACAUAAAUAAUAUAUAUGCUGUCUCCAUAACCAUAAGGACAUUGCUUGGUUUUGUGCUUCUAGCUUUGAUAUGGGAAGAUAAGUUCCCACCUUUCAUGCUUCUGAUAAUCGC